AUACAUGCAGUCGAGCGAUGGAUUGAGAGCUUGCUCUCAUGAAGUUAGCGGCGGACGGGUGAGUAACACGUGGGUAACCUGCCCAUAAGACUGGGAUAACUCCGGGAAACCGGGGCUAAUACCGGAUAAUAUUUUGAACUGCAUGGUUCGAAAUUGAAAGGCGGCUUCGGCUGUCACUUAUGGAUGGACCCGCGUCGCAUUAGCUAGUUGGUGAGGUAACGGCUCACCAAGGCAACGAUGCGUAGCCGACCUGAGAGGGUGAUCGGGCACACUGGGACUGAGACACCGCCCAGACUCCUUCGGGAGGGAGCAGUAGGGAAUCUUCCGCAAUGGACGAAAGGCCGACGGAACAACGGGUCGUGAUUGAUGCGGGCUUUCGGGUCGUAAAACUCUGUGGUUAGGGAAGAACACCUGCUACUUGAUUGAGCUGGCACCUUGAAGGUACAUACCCAGAAAGCAGGCGUUUAAAAACGGCGCCAAGAACCGGAAAAUCGUUAGUGGUCAAUGUUAAUCGGACUUUUUGCGCCGAAAGGGCGGGCCGCUGUUUAUUUACUUUUGAUUUUAAAGCCCCGGCGUCACCCGGAGGGGGCAUUUGUAAAUGGGUAUACUUUAGUGCAGAAGGGGCAAAAGCGCUUUCCUAUGUAGCGGUGAUCGUCUACGGGGUGUAGAAGCAACGCACCGAUCCCGGUGGCUCUCCCGUCUGUAAUGCCCCCGUAGGCGGUUACAAGUCGGAAGUCAACCAGCGCAAAUAGCGUGCUUGUACAAUCCGUACACGUCAACUGCUACAUGUGGGAUGGGAUUUUCCCUUUUGGACUAAAGUUUACCAUUUACAAUCCCCCUCCGGGAGUUACGGGCCGUGGGUUUAAUCUAAAAAAAAAAAACCNCGACGCGCCCAAUUGGUGGCCCAUAAUUGCUGAUAACAAUGACACCCAAGAAACUCCCCCGGUCUUGGCACGUCUUUUAACCUCGUAAUAUUGAUGUUCUCCUUAGGGACAUGAGUAAUCGGUGGGUUGUGGUUGUUCUCCGCUGGUGUCGUGAGAUGUGGGGAAAACUCCCACCACGAGCGCACCCUUGGUUCUUAGUUUCCCUCAUUAAUGUGGGCAAUUUAAGGUGACUGCCGGUGACAAACCGGAGGAAGGUGGGGAUGACGUCAAAUCAUCAUGCCCCUUAUGACCUGGGCUACACACGUGCUACAAUGGACGGUACAAAGAGCUGCAAGACCGCGAGGUGGAGCUAAUCUCAUAAAACCGUUCUCAGUUCGGAUUGUAGGCUGCAACUCGCCUACAUGAAGCUGGAAUCGCUAGUAAUCGCGGAUCAGCAUGCCUCUGUGAAUACGUUCCCGGCCCUUGUCCACACCGCCCGCCUCCCCACGAGAGUUUGUAACACCCGAAGUCGGUGGCGUAACCUCNUUGAGCCAGCC
rnacentral:rRNA from 1 species